AUGAACGCUGGCGGCGUGCCUAAUACAUGCAAGUCGAGCGAACAGACGAGGAGCUUGCUCCUCUGACGUUAGCGGCGGACGGGUGAGUAACACGUGGAUAACCUACCUAUAAGACUGGGAAAACUUCGGGAAACCGGAGCUAAUACCGGAAAAUAUAUUGAACCGCAUGGUUCAAUAGUGAAAGACGGUUUUGCUGUCACUUAUAGAUGGAUCCGCGCCGCAUUAGCUAGUUGGUAAGGUAACGGCUUACCAAGGCAACGAUGCGUAGCCGACCUGAGAGGGUGAUCGGCCACACUGGAACUGAGACACGGUCCAGACUCCUACGGGAGGCAGCAGUAGGGAAUCUUCCGCAAUGGGCGAAAGCCUGACGGAGCAACGCCGCGUGAGUGAUGAAGGUCUUCGGAUCGUAAAACUCUGUUAUUAGGGAAGAACAAAUGUGUAAGUAACUAUGCACGUCUUGACGGUACCUAAUCAGAAAGCCACGGCUAACUACGUG
rnacentral:rRNA from 1 species